rnacentral:lncRNA from 1 species
CGCGGAAGGGAUGGGACGAAGCGCACACAUAGCCACCACCGGUGUGGGCGGACGUAGAUUUCCUGAUCCGCUAAAGAGCAAACCUUCAGCGUCGCGCCCAAACCUCGGGGAUGAGCUUGAUGAAAUACGUCGUCAAGAGGACAUUUAGUGUUGUAGCUGCAGGGGCAAGCUUGUUGGGUCCGGGGUGGGCGGGAGUUGUUGAUCCGCUCCGGAGAAAGCAGGGGGCAUAAACUGCGUCGCAGAAGCCCUCGAGGAAAUGCCAGUCUGUG